rnacentral:rRNA from 1 species
ACAUUGGUGCUUGCACCAGAUGACGAGUGGCGCACGGGUGCGUAACGCGUAUGCAACCUACCUUUUACUAGAGUAUAGCCCAGAGAAAUUUGGAUUAAUCCUCUAUAACAUCUUUUAAUUUCAUGAUUAAUUGAUUAAAGUUUUAACGGUAAAAGAUGGGCAUGCGUCCUAUUAGUUUGUAGGUGAGGUAACGGCUCACCUAGACUACGAUAGGUAGGGGCCCUGAGAGGGGGAUCCCCCACACUGGUACUGGGACACGGACCAGACUCCUACGGGAGGCAGCAGUAAGGAAUAUUGGACAAUGGACGAAAGUCUGAUCCAGCCAUGCCGCGUGCAGGAUGAAAGCCCUAUGGGUUGUAAACUGCUUUUAUACAGGAAGAAACACUCCGACGUGUCGGAGCUUGACGGU